GCCUUUUGUGCCUGCCCAGCCCUCUCCGCGCCGGCUUGAGGCUUGCAGAUCCGUCAGAGGGACCAGAACUGCGGUUAACUCACAGCAUCCUGCGUAAGUCAAGAGCCAGAUGGAGACAGGUGAACACAUUUGAUGAAGCACGCCUAAGGGGCAUUGCUCUGUGUUUCUCCGGCAGCAGCUUGAUAACUGGUAGCAUUGGGACUGCCCUUCUGUGGAGAGUCCCUGAAGACACAUGGAACAGGUCCUUUGUGAGUCGAAGGUUACGUGGUGUCUUCUGCCUGUAUCAGAGAAAACUUAGAGUCUGGAAGAAUUUGCUGCCUCCGUGGUAAGUUCCACAGUGGACUAGGGUGGGUUUCUGGGAUUCCAGGUGUGACAAUGCUCCUCACGCUGAUACUGAACCACACGAGGGGACUCCAUGCGGAGAGGAACACUACUCAGGACCAUUAUGAGUAGAUCACUGAAAUAGGGCCGCCUGAGUUACCAUGAACUGUUUGCAGAUUCUCACCUCAGAAACAAAACCAUUACUUAAAAGUCAGUUCCUUCUUUUCUUUGAAUGAAGGAAUGCUGGACCCUUACAUUCAAGAAAAUAGCCUCGAUGCAUAUUACCUUUAAUAGACUUGUACCGGGAGAAUAAACUUAUCAAAGCUCUGAGUUAUUUAGCCACGAA
rnacentral:lncRNA from 1 species